GGUAGUGUGGCCGAGUGGACAAAGGCAUCAGACUGUAAAUCUGACGGCGAACGCCUACGCUGGUUCGAAUCCAGCCGCUACCA
rnacentral:tRNA from 1 species